AGGACCAGAUGGAAAGAAACUGGGCAAGCCAAUGAAAGUCUCUGGGGAUCAUGGGAAUUGAGUGUCUAUGAAAACCAUAUUCCAGACAAGAAUAUAGUCUAAGGUUGAGAGAGGGGAGGAAGCUGCAGAAGGAAAGCUGGAAGCUAGCAGAGGUUGGUUCAUGGGGUUGAAGGAAAGAAGCCAUCUUCAUAACAUAAAAGUGCCAGGUGAAGCAGCAAGUGCUGAUGUAGAAGCUACAGCAAGUUAUCCAGAAGAUCUAGCUGACAUCAUUGAUGCAGGUGACUACAUAAACAACAAAUUUUCAGUGUAGACGAAACAGCCAUCUAUUGGAAGAAGUUGUCAUCUAAGACUUUCGCAGCUAGAGAAGAGAAGUCAAUGGCUAGCUUCAAAGUUUCCAAGGACAGACUGACUCUCUUGUUAUGGGCUAAUGUAGCUGGUGACAUUAAGUGUAAGUCAAUGUUCAUUUACCAUUCCGAAAAUUCUAGGGCCCUUUAUAACUGUGCUAAAUCUAUUCUGCCUGUGCUCUAUCAAUGGAACAAUAAAGUCUGGAUGAUAGCAUGUCUGUUUACAACAUAGGUUACUGAAUAUUUUAAGCCCACUCUUGAGAACUACUGCUCAGGAAAAAGGAUUUUCAGAAUAUUAUUGCUCAUUGACAAUGCACCUGUCACCCAAGAGCUCUGAUGGAGAAGUACAGGGGAUUAACAUUGUUUUCAUGCCUGCUAACACAUCAUUCUGUAGUCCAUGGAUCAAGGAGUCAUUUUGACUUUCAAGUCUUAUUAUAUAAGAGAUACUGUUUGUAAGGCUAUAGCUGUUACAGACACUGAUUCCUCUGAUGGAUCUGGGCAAAGUAAAUUGAUAACCUUCUGGAAAUAAAUCACCAUUCCAGAUACCAUUAAGAACAUUCAUUAUUCAUUGGGUGGUGGUCAAAAUAUCAACAUUAACAAGAGUUUGAAAGAAGUUGAUUCCAACCCUCAUGGGCGACUUUGCGGGGUUCAAGAUUUCAGUCAAGGAAAUAACUGCAGAUGUGGUGGAAAUACCAAGAGAGAAUUCAAGAUGUGACUGAACUGCUGCAACCUAAUGAUAAAACUUAUUUUUUUUUUUUUUGAGACAGGGUCUUGCUUUGUCAUCCAGGCUGGAAUGCUGUGGCACAAACAUGACUCACUGCAGACUCAUCAACCUCCCCAGCUCAAGUGAUCCUCCCACCUCAGCCCCACAAGUAGCUGGGACUACAUGCACAUGCCAUCAUGCCCAUCUAGUCUUUGUAUUUUUUGUAGAGACAGGGUUUUGUCAUGUUGUCCAGGCUGAUCUUGAACUCCUGAGCUCAAGUGGUCCAUAUACCUUGGCUUCCCAAAGUGCUGGGAUUAUAGGCCAUUGCUCCCGGCCUCAUGAUAAAACUUUAAGUAAUUGCUUCUUAUGGAUGAGCAAAGAAAUUGGAAUCUUGAUGCAGAAUGUACUUCUGGUGAAGAUGCCAUGAAUGUUGUUGAAAUGACAACAGAAGGUCUAGAAUAGUCCAUAAACUUAGCUGAGAAAGCAGCAGCAGGAGUUGAGAGGAUUGACUUCAGUUUUGAAAGAAGUUUUACUGUGGAUAAAAUGCUAUCAAAUAACCUCACAUGCUUCAGAUAAAUCUUUUGUGAAAGAAAGAUUCAAUAGAUGCAUAAACUUCAUUUUUUUUAAUUUUAAGAAAUUGCUUUAGCCACCCCAACCUUCAGCAAUCACUACCCUGAUCAAUCAGCAGCCAUCAACAUCAAGGCUAAACCCUCCAUUGGCAAAAAGAUUAUGAUCGCUGAAGGCUCAGAUGAUUAUUAGAGUUUUUAAUUUAAUUUUUUAUUAGCAAUAAAAUAUUUUUAAAUUUAAGGAAUGUACAUUUUUUUAAAGACAUAGUGCUAUUUCAUACUUAGUACUCUACAGUAAUGUAAACACAACUUUUCAAUGUACUGGAAAACAAAACAAACAAAGUCUCAUUUUAUUGUGAUAUUUGCUUUAUUGUGGUGGUCUUGAAAAAAACCCAUAAUAUUUUUGCGAUAUUAUGCCUAUAUGAAUAGAAUUAAAAGCAAAAUAUAUAUACUUAAUGUAUUAUAAAAAAGAAAAAAGAUAAAACAAAUUAUUGAAUAAAUAUAUCUACAUGCAAAAUUUAUCUGUUAAUAUAUGCUGUUUACAAAUAAAUCUACAUAAAAUGAAA
ensembl:lncRNA WDFY3-AS2 WDFY3 antisense RNA 2